AAUGGCAAAGGCUACGUUAAUCUGUUUGCAUGUUAAGCGGCAUUCAGAAUUAGCCCCCGCUUAUGCCAUAAAUCGUAUCGCGAAGAGAGCGUUAAACGUUGGUCAAACAACAAAUAUCAAGUUUUAUUGACCCACAAAUAACGUGCAGAUAAUUACAAAAACAAUGGCAACCGCUGCCGGCUAGUUGUUGGCCAAAACAAAUGCGCAAGUGGUCUUUGCCAUGGGUAUUUGUGGGCCCUCAGCGCCGGUGGUGGAGGUGGUGUGUUGGUGGAAUAACAUGGCAAAGUGGAAAAACUACUUACAAGUAUGUUAACAUGCGCAAUUGUUGGGACCCAUUGCCGUUGUCUUGUAGCCCUUAGGGUGGCCCGAGCCCAAGCCAAGCCAAGACGAAUGCUCGAGUUUAUCUGUUGUGGUCAUGGCAAAAAGUAAUCCAAAAGAUAAAAUACAAUAAAAUAAAAGGCCAAGCGCGCUGCAUUUGUGGGCAGGUCGCUUAGACAAUACCUUCGAGCAUCUCGUGUAUUGUUGUUGUGUGUGCAUAAUUUAUAAGGCAAGCUUCUCAUGUUUUUGGCUAAAUUAUUUUCCUGGGCCCGGCACGUGCUACGCUGCCUGGUCGCAGAUUCAAUGGCUCGGGCGCAAAGGCUCCAGGUCAACAAUUUGGUCAUAAAUUUUGGCGCCUGGCCUGCGACACGCUCUAUGACAUUAUUGAACCCGAAAGGGGAUAUGGCCAAACAAAAACAGCAGCAACAGCCAGCGGCCAAAAGCACAUAAGCCAACCAGUUGACCUUGAAAAUGUGUGCGAGACCAUAAAGACUGAAUAGUGAACUGCAUAAAAAGGUUUCUGUAAUAGAUAUACCAACUCAAAGUUAAUCAAAAGAAAAUUAAAGCAAUUGAGCUAAUAAAAAUAAGCAACACAUAUACAAAGAUACUUUUUACUUGAUCGAAAUGAGCUUUAUUUAAAACUAUGCGAUUCAGUUUGGAAAUUUAACUAGCUGACAUUCCAAGACUCGGAAAGCAUAAUAUGCUGCGUCACAUAAGCAGGGGCAAGCCCCACCUGAAAAUGUUUGUAUAAGCCUUAGCAAGCCAACAGCAAAAGAAAAAGAACCUGAACGGACUUCGUACUCUGGGAGCGGUAAAAAUUAACUUUGACUCAAUUUGGCUGCCUACAGUUCUGGCCAACGAAAGAUAAAGUACAAGAAA